AGUGGGGCAGUUGCUGAUAGGGCGCGAGCUGUGCUUGCGUCACUCCGGUUCUUUCGUUUUGUGAGGCGACGCUGAGGCGGGGAGCGGGGGGGGUGUUGCGCUGAUGGACUCCAAUUCCCAUCAGCCCCAGUCAGCAUGGCCGAUCGUGAGGAGUGAUGGGAGUUGUAUUCCGGCAAUUACAUAAAUACACACACGUGUGUACAUACAGUAUAAUUCUAUUACCUAUGCAUAUUAAUAUAAUAUAAAAAAUCCCCGAAGGAUUACAGGUUUACCGUAUCUCCGUUGCGCAUUUAUUAGGAAGCAAGGAGCAUUGAACUCAACAUGAUUUAAUUCCAGGUAAACAUACACACAUACAGAGUCGCUCUUCCCGAUUCUCUAGUGGCAAUUUUGCCAUCUUCAGGCGGGUGGGGGUAAUCUGUGGCGGAUCUGAAGAGCACUAUGGUGAGGGUAGUUUAAUGUAUCAGUCAGACAAACAUCUAGGGUUCCAGACCUCUCCCCCAUGGAGGUUUUGUGUCUCUUAGCACAGUUGAAUAACAGACAGAAAAUCAACAUGUCAUGUCCUCUCGCCCCCCCCCCCCAAAUCUGCAUAUUUUAAGAUAAGUCUUGAAACGUUUGUGGCCCCACAACGUUUGGGAAACUGCCCUGGGAAGUUACUACUGUAUAGCCCUUUCCAUGUAUGCAAUACCUUUAAGGGUAAAGGUAAAGGGACCCCUGACCAUUAGGUCCAGUCGUGACCAACACUGGGGUUGCGGCGCUCAUCUCGCUUUAUUGGCCAAGGGAGCCGCCGUACAGCUUCUGGGUCAUGUGGCCAACAUGACUAAGCCGCUUCUGGUGAACCAGAGCGGCACAUGGAAACACCGUUUACCUUCCCGCCAGAGCGGUACCUAUUUAUCUACGUGCACUUUGACGUGCUUUCGAACUGCUAGGUUGGCAGGAACAGGGACCAAGCAACGGGAGCUCACCCCAUUGCGGGGAUUUGAACUGCCGACCUUCUGAUCGGCAAGUCCUAGGCUCUGUGGUUUAACCCACAGCGCCACCCGUGUCCCAUGCAAUACCUUUAAAAAGGUAAAGGUACCCCUGCCCGUACGGGCCAGUCGUGUCCGACUCUGGGGUUGUGCGCCCAUCUCACUUAAAGGCCGGGGGCCAGCGCUGUCCGGAGACACUUCCGGGUCACGUGGCCAGCGUGACGAAGCUGCUCUGGCGAGCCAGCACCAGCGCAGCACACGGAAACGCCGUUUACCUUCCCGCCGGAGCGGUACCUAUUUAUCUACUUGCACUUUGACGUGCUUUCGAACUGCUAGGUUGGCAGGAGCAGGGACCGAGCAAUGGGAGCUCACCCCAUUGCGGGGAUUUGAACUGCUGACCUUCUGAUCGGCAAGCCCUAGGCGCUGACGUUUUACCCACAGCGCCACCCGCGUCCCCUUUAGGAGGUUCUAAAUACUUACUUGGUUACUGCACUUUGAAUUGAAGUUUUAUAUGCUGCUAUCUUAUUUUUUAUUUUAAUUAUUGAGGCACUUAAUGGACUGAUUAUUUAGCCUGUAUUAUUUAGUGUGUUGUAAUUCGCACUGUAGAGGUUUUGCCAGAAACGCAGGCUAGAAAUCUGUGAAAUAAAUGGAUAUAACAGCAAAAUCAACAAAUUGUCUCACAUUCCAGAAAGAUUGGUGAAGGCUGAUGCCAUUGCUGAAGGCUUAAUUUGCUAACAGGAGAUACAGCUUCAAAUCUGAACUCACUCCAUGAGGCUCACUGGACAGCUUUGGGCAAGUCAUCAUCUCUCACCUUAACCUGCUUCACAGGGGCCUUGGAAGGGUAAAUUAAGCUGUGUGGCAAAACAUUUCACCCACUUCAAGCUACUGUAGAAAUUAAUAAUAGCAGAAAUAUAUACAUAAUUUCCUUUGUCUAAUAU